CUUCCGUAGGGUGAACCUGCGGAAGGAUCAUUAACCGUUACAAACAGUGUGUGCUGCGGCCCCCGAGGUGAGGCAACGAGCCUUCGGGAGGUCUGGGGUCCGCCCCUUCACGCGCACGCGUCUGCCAUCCUUACUUUACGAGCACCUUCUGUUCUCCCUCGGCAUGCGUCCUGCGCUGCCGUUGGAAUUACAAAACUCUUUUUUGCAUCUAGCAUUACCUGUUCCGACAAUAACAAUCGUUACAACUUUCAACAAUGGAUCUCUUGGCUCUGGCAUCGAUGAAGAACGCAGCGAAAUGCGAUAAGUAGUGUGAAUUGCAGAAUUCAGUGAAUCAUCGAAUCUUUGAACGCACAUUGCGCCCCUCGGUAUUCCGUGGGGCAUGCCUGUUCGAGCGUCAUCUACACCCUCAAGCUCUGCUUGGUGUUGGGCGUCUGUCCCGCCUCGGCGCGCGGACUCGCCCCAAAUGCAUUGGCAGCGGUCUUUGCCUCCUCUCGCGCAGCACAUUGCGCUUCUCGAGGUGUCGCGGACACGCGUCCAGUAAGCAACAUUUACCGUCUUUGACCUCGGAUCAGGUAGGGAUACCCGCUGAACUUAAGCAUAUCAAUAA
rnacentral:rRNA from 1 species